rnacentral:rRNA from 1 species
GCCAGCAGCCACAUCACCCUGCAACUCACAACUGGGAACCCACCGAGAUUCAGCAGGUGUGAGCCUGGUCAGUACCAGGAUGGGAGACCUCCUGGGAAAGCUAAGGUUGCUGCUGGAA